GCCGCGGCCCCGCCCACUUUCCCGUCCCCCGUCCCCGGGCGCCGCGGGCGUCGCGCAGGCGCAGUCGGGCCGGGGCGGGCGGGCGGGCGAGGGG
rnacentral:miRNA from 1 species